rfam:Trichobilharzia regenti genome assembly, scaffold: TRE_scaffold0001045
GUGCUGAUGAAGAGUCCCAAACUAGGACGAAACAGCUGUUCAGUAC